rnacentral:rRNA from 1 species
GAUGAACGCUGGCGGCGUGCCUAAUACAUGCGAGUCGAGCGAACAGACGAGGAGCUUGCUCCUCUGACGUUAGCGGCGGACGGGUGAGUAACACGUGGAUAACCUACCUAUAAGACUGGGAUAACUUCGGGAACCCGGAGCUAAUACCGGAUAAUAUAUUGAACCGCAUGGUUCAAUAGUGAAAGACGGUUUUGCUGUCACUUAUAGAUGGAUCCGCGCCGCAUUAGCUAGUUGGUAAGGUAACGGCUUACCAAGGCAACGAUGCGUAGCCGACCUGAGAGGGUGAUCGGCCACACUGGAACUGAGACACGGUCCAGACUCCUACGGGAGGCAGCAGUAGGGAAUCUUCCGCAAUGGGCGAAAGCCUGACGGAGCAACGCCGCGUGAGUGAUGAAGGUCUUCGGAUCGUAAAACUCUGUUAUUAGGGAAGAACAAAUGUGUAAGUAACUAUGCACGUCUUGACGGUACCUAAUCAGAAAGCCACGGCUAACUACGUG